rnacentral:rRNA from 1 species
CAAAAUUUAUAAAUUAUGAAAAAAUAUAAAUUAGUAAAUUGUUGUUCUUAGAACUUUAUUGAACCAGGAAAGCAUGAUUUUAAUAAAAUUUUUAACUUCUAUCUUUGANNNNNNCGUGCGGCCAGACUUGAGUCUAGUGCAUCUUAAAAUUACCAGCUUGUCUGGUUGGUAAUUUCUGCCGACGUAGAAAUCCUAUAAGACCAGGUUGUAGCUCCAGUGUUUGGGGGAAAAGCUAAUCCUGAGAGUUUCUCCUAAUACGACAAUAGGACGCCAUUGAUUAAAGAAAUUAGUUUUAAAAACCUAGUUGUGAGCAAACAUAAGAAACUAGAUUUCCUUCGAA